UAACAGCACUUUCACUUUCCAAACCAGCUCUGAGUGUUUCAUGUUAAACGUUCAGAGCAUUUCAUAUGGGGGUGAGGACAGUUCUUACCAACAGAGCAGCCUCCACCCAAUAUCACACAGCAGCAAAACCAGCCACCCCACAACACAGGGCGUUACCGUGGGGCCGCAAUGCAGAGCUCAGCAGCCAUUGCAGGGAGCUGUAACGGUGAAUAAUGUUGGCAUAGGAAGCCCAUGGGUGCAGUGGUGCUGGUGGCUGGGGAAGGUCUCUUCCCUGCUGAUGGCUGGAAACUCAUUCAGGAUCUCCCUGCAGAUGCCAACGUGGAUGAAAGGAGGAGAGUGAAGCUCUGAAGUUGGCACAUAAGGCAGAUGAUGAGAAAGUGAGAGGCUGUCCACCCCUUUCUAUGGCAAGAACAACAGGGGAAGCACAGCAGAGGUGACCCUGAGCAAUAAAAGCAUGAAACCCCACUGAA